rnacentral:rRNA from 1 species
CACUCCUGCGGGAGGCAGCAGUGGGGAAUAUUGCACAAUGGGCGCAAGCCUGAUGCAGCCAUGCCGCGUGUAUGAAGAAGGCCUUCGGGUUGUAAAGUACUUUCAGCGGGGAGGAAGGCAAUACGGUUAAUAACCGUGUUGAUUGACGUUACCCGCAGAAGAAGCACCGGCUAACUCCGUGCCAGCAGCCGCGGUAAUACGGAGGGUGCAAGCGUUAAUCGGAAUUACUGGGCGUAAAGCGCACGCAGGCGGUCUGUCAAGUCGGAUGUGAAAUCCCCGGGCUCAACCUGGGAACUGCAUUCGAAACUGGCAGGCUUGAGUCUUGUAGAGGGGGGUAGAAUUCCAGGUGUAGCGGUGAAAUGCGUAGAGAUCUGGAGGAAUACCGGUGGCGAAGGCGGCCCCCUGGACAAAGACUGACGCUCAGGUGCGAAAGCGUGGGGAGCAAACAGGAUUAGAAACCCGUGUAGUCCC